ACCAGGAUGGCCAAGUGGGUAAUGAGUUGGACUUAAGAUCCAACGGACAAAUGUUCUUGUGGGUUUCUAUCCUACUCCUAGUA
rnacentral:tRNA from 1 species